CGUAGGUGGCAAGCGUUGUCCGGAUUUAUUGGGCGUAAAGCGAGCGCAGGCGGUUUUUUAGGCCUGAUGUGAAAGCCUUCGGCUUAACCGGAGAAGUGCAUCGGAAACCGGGAGACUUGAGUGCGGAAGAGGACAGUGGAACUCCAUGUGUAGCGGUGAAAUGCGUAGAUAUAUGGAAGAACACCAGUGGCGAAGGCGGCUGUCUGGUCUGCAACUGACGCUGAGGCUCGAAAGCAUGGGUAGCGAACAGGAUUAGAUACCCUGGUAGUCCAUGCCGUAAACGAUGAGUGCUAAGUGUUGGAGGGUUUCCGCCCUUCAGUGCUGCAGCUAACGCAUUAAGCACUCCGCCUGGGGAGUAUGACCGCAAGGUUGAAACUCAAAGGAAUUGACGGGGACCCGCACAAGCGGUGGAGCAUGUGGUUUAAUUCGAUGCUACGCGAAGAACCUUACCAGGUCUUGACAUCUUCUGCUAACCUAAGAGAUUAGGCGUUCCCUUCGGGGACGGAAUGACAGGUGGUGCAUGGUUGUCGUCAGCUCGUGUCGUGAGAUGUUGGGUUAAGUCCCGCAACGAGCGCAACCCUUAUUGUCAGUUGCCAGCAUUUAGUUGGGCACUCUGGCGAGACUGCCGGUGACAAACCGGAGGAAGGUGGGGAUGACGUCAAAUCAUCAUGCCCCUUAUGACCUGGGCUACAAACGUGCUACAAUGGACGGUACAACGAGUCGCGAAACCGCGAGGUCAAGCUAAUCUCUGAAAGCCGUUCUCAGUUCGGAUUGCAGGCUGCAACUCGCCUGCAUGAAGUUGGAAUCGCUAGUAAUCGUGGAUCAGCAUGCCACGGUGAAUACGUUCCCGGGCCUUGUACACACCGCCCGUCACACCAUGAGAGUUUGUAACACCCAAAGCCGGUGGGGUAACCGUAAGGGACCAGCCGUCUAAGGUGGGACAGAUGAUUGGGGUGAAGUCGUAACAAGGUAGCCGUAGGAGAACCUGCGGCUGGAUCACCUCCUUUCUAA
rnacentral:rRNA from 1 species